AUAUUGGCGAGAGACCGAUAGCGAACAAGUACCGUGAGGGAAAGAUGAAAAGAACUUUGGAAAGAGAGUUAAACAGUACGUGAAAUUGCUGAAAGGGAAACGCUUGAAGUCAGUCGCGUUGGCCGGGAAUCAACCUUGCUUUUGCUGGGCGUACUUCCUGGUUAACGGGUCAGCAUCAAUUUUGACCGUUGGAUAAAGUUGUAGGGAAUGUGGCAUCUUCGGAUGUGUUAUAGCCCUGCUUCGCAUACAACGAUUGGGAUUGAGGAACUCAGCACGCCGCAAGGCCGGGUUUUUAACCACGUUCGUGCUUAGGAUGCUGGCAUAAUGGCUUUAAACGACCCGUCUUGAAACACGGACC
rnacentral:rRNA from 1 species